AGUGAACAGCACAGCCGGACCGAGAUCGCCGGCUGUCGGCCAGCGGAAGCGGCUCGGGCCCGGCGGUCCCCGAGAUGUCACGAUGGCUGUGGCCAUGGUCGAACUGUGUGAAAGAGCGUGUCUGCCGCUACUUGCUACAGCACUACUUGGGUCACUUCUUUCAGGAGCACCUCAGCCUGGACCAGCUCAGCCUGGAUCUGUACAAGGGCAGCGUUGCCCUGCGGGAUAUUCACCUGGAAACCUGGUCUGUGAACGAGUUUUUGAGGUCAAUGGAGUCACCACUGGAACUGGUGGAAGGCUUUGUGAGCUCCAUCGAGGUGGCUGUCCCCUGGGCUGCACUUCUCACUGACCACUGCACUGUGUGUGUGUCAGGCCUUCAGCUUACCCUGCAGCCCCGCCAGGGUUCAGGACCAGGGGCUGCGGACUCUCAGAGUUGGGCCUCAUGCAUGACCACAAGCUUGCAGCUGGCUCAAGAGUGCCUUCGGGAAGGGUUGCCAGAACCCUCAGAACCACCACAGCCCCUGGAGGGGCUGGAAAUGUUUGCACAGACCAUUGAGACUGUGCUCCGGAGGAUCAAGGUGACCUUCCUGAACACUGUUGUGAGGGUGGAGCAUUCACUGGGUGAUGAGGAUCGAAGUGUGGCUGUGGAGGUCCGAGUGCAGAGACUGGAGUACUGUGACGAAGCAGUGCGGGACCCCAGCCAGGCCCCACCUGUGGACGUGCACCAGCCGCCUGCCUUCCUGCACAAGCUGCUGCAGCUGAGUGGGGUCUGCCUAUACUUUGAGGAGCUGCCCUCCCAGGCAGACCCACCACAGCCACCUCUGCAAAUCGGCAGCUGCACGGGGUACGUGGAGCUCAUGGUGAGGCUGAAGCAGAACGAGGCCUUUCCAGGCCCCAAGUUGGAGGUAUCAGGACAACUGGGAUCCCUGCACCUGCUUUUGACCCCGCGUCAGCUCCAGCAGCUCCAGAGGCUGCUCAGUGCCGUCAACCUUGCAGACCCUGCAGGCCUGGCCGACAAGCUGAACAAGAGCCGUCCACUGGGUGCUGAGGACUUGUGGCUCAUUGAGCAAGAUCUGAACCAGCAGCUGCAGGCGGGUGCUGUGGCUGAGUCCCUCAGCCUGUACCCCAUCACCAACCCCCUCAAUUUGGACAGCACGGACCUCUUCUUCUCCAUGGCCGGCCUCACAAGCAGUGUGACAUCGGCUGUCUCUGAGCUCUCCGUGUACAGCGUAGACCUGGGCUCCUCUGUUCACAGCAACAUGGCCUUCCACCGACCCUCAACCCCACCCCACUCGGGUGGCAAGAUGGCCCCAACUCCCCUUCUGGACACCACACGCCCUGACUCACUGGUGAAGAUGACCUUGGGCGGUGUGAGCUUGACCUUGCUGCAGACUGCUUCCCCGUCUUCAGGACCAUCUGACCUCCCCACCCACUUUUUUGCUGAGUUCGAUGCUGCCAAAGAUGGGCCAUUCGGCUCCCGGGACUUCUCCCAUCUCAGGCCACGCUUCCAGAGGGCCUGCCCUUGUAGCCACGUCCGGUUAACUGGCACAGCCGUGCAGCUGUCCUGGGAGCUGCGCACGGGCAGCCACAGCCGGAGGACAAGCAGCACCGAAGUGCACUUUGGACAGCUGGAGGUGCUGGAGUGCCUAUGGCCCAGGGCUGCCACAGAGCCAGAGUACACGGAGAUCCUGAGCUUCCCCAGUCACUCUGGCUCCGAAGCCUCAGCCCGACCCUGCGCCCAUCUGCGCCACACACAGACCAUUCGCCGGGUGCUCAAGAGCCGGUCCCGGCGCUCCACUGCCUGCCAUUGUCACUCAGAACUGUCCCUGGACCUGGCCGACUUCCAAUCUGAUGUGGAGCUGGGGUCCCUGGACCGCCUUGCUGCCUUGUUCCGUCAAGUCACCACACCCUCUGAGCCACCUGCUGGCCUACUAACAGAGCCCCCACAGGCCACUGAGCUGCAGACAGUGUUUCGUCUCUCAGCACCCCGGGCCACCCUGAGGCUACGCUUCCCCAUCCCAGACCUACGGCCUGACCGGGACCCCUGGGCUGGCCAGGCUGUGCGGGCUGAGCAGCUGCGACUGGAGCUGAGUGAGCCCCAGUUCCGCUCAGAGCUCAACAGUGGGCCUGGCCCCCCAGCUCCUACCCGCCUGGAACUUACUUGCUCAGACCUGCAAGGAAUCUACGAAGAUGGAGAGAAGCCACCAGUCCCCUGCCUGCGGGUCUCCAAAGCUCUGAAUCCCAGGAGCACUGAGGCCAAGUACUUUCUACCUCAUGGUGACCCUGAACCCCCAGUCCAGUGGCACACAGUGGGAGACAGCCUAUGAGAAAGGCCGGGAUCUAGAGCUGUCCACCGAGAGUCCGUGUGAGCUACAGCAACCUGAGCCCUCGCCCUUCUCCUCCAAGCGGACCAUGUACGAGACUGAGGAAAUGGUGAUCCCUGGAGACCCUGAAGAGAUGAGGACAUUCCAGAGCCGGACACUGGCACUGUCCCGCUGUACUCUGGAUGUGAUCAUGCCCAGUGCCCACAUCUUCCUGCCCAGUAAGGAGGUCUACGAAAGUAUCUACAACAGGAUCAAUAACGACCUGCUCAUGUGGGAGCCUGCAGACCUGCUUCCCACAUCCAGCGCUGCUGCUCGGCCGCCUGGCUCUUCGGGGUUCAAGAUGUGCAAGUCAGCCUUCAAGCUAGACUCGGAUUCAGAUGAAGAAGACGCCCAGUUCUUCUCGAUGGCAUCAGGUGUCCCCCAGACACCUGCCCCAGAACCUUCCCGUCGUCAGUCCCAGAGUACCUUCUCCACACUGGUGACAGUGCUGAAGGGUCGGAUCACUGCGCUCUGUGAGGCUAAGGAUGAGACAGGGAAGCGGCUGGAUGUCACUCACGGGGAGCUGGUACUAGAUGUGGAGCAAGGCACCAUCUUCAGCGUAGCCCAGUACCGUGGCCAACCAGGGCUUGGCUACUUCUGCCUGGAAGCUGAAAAGGCCAAACUCUACCAUCGAGCGGCCAUUGAAGACUACCUGCUACCCACUCAUUUGGAAGUGCCCAGCUUUGCUCCCCCCGCUCAGCUGGCUCCAACCAUCUACCCAUCAGAGGAAGGGGUGACUGAGCGAGGAACCUUGGGCCGCAAGGGCCAGGGUCCCCCCAUGCUGUCUGCAGCUGUCCGUAUCCACCUGGACCCUCACAAGAAUGUCAAGGAAUUUUUGGUGACAGUACGGCUGCACAAAGCCACUCUACGCCACUACAUGGCCCCACCUGAACAGAGCUGGCACUCCCAGCUCCUGGACUUCUUGGAUGUGCUGGAUGACCCUGUGCUGGGAUACCUGCCCCCAACCGUCAUCACUGUCCUGCACACACAUCUCUUCUCCUGCGCUGUGGACUACAGGCCCCUCUACCUCCCUGUGCGUGUCCUGGUCACUGCUGAGACCUUCACCCUCUCCAGCAACAUUGUCAUGGACACGUCCACCUUCCUGCUCAGCCCUGUUCCCCACCAGGUUCAUCCUUGAUGACUCCGCUCUGUACCUGUCUGACAAGUGUGAGGUGGAGAGCCUGGAUCUGCGGCGAGAUUAUGUCUGUGUCCUGGAUAUUGACCUCCUGGAACUUGUCAUCAAAACCUGGAAGGGCAGCACUGAGGGCAGACUGAGCCAGCCUCUGUUUGAGCUGCGCUGCUCCAACAACGUGGUGCACGUGCAUAGCUGUGCUGACUCCUGCGCCCUGCUGGUCAACCUGCUCCAGUACCUAACCAGCUCGGGUGACCUGCACCCCCCACCCCGGCCCCCCAGCCCUACAGAGAUCGCUGGCCAGAAGCUUUCGGAGAGCCCUGCCUCCCUGCCCUCAUGCCUACCUGUGGAGACAGCCCUCAUCAACCAACGAGACCUGACUGACGCCCUUCUGGAUACUGAACGGCGCGGCCUGCAGGAGCUGGCCCAGUCAUCGGGUGGCCCACUUCCUCAGGCCUCUCCCGUCUCCGUCUAUCUGUUCCCAGGUGAACGGAGUGGGGCCCAGGCCCCUUUGCCUCCUCCUGGGGCCUCUUCUCAUACCUUGGGUUCUAAGGCAAAGGAACAUGAAAACGAAGAGGAAGGGGACGGAGACACCCUGGACAGUGAUGAGUUCUGCAUCCUUGACGCCCCUGGCCUAGGCAUUGCGCCUCGAGACGGGGAGCCCAUCGUGACACAGCUGCAUCCAGGCCCCAUCAUCGUGCACGACGGUCACUUCUCCCAGCCCCUGGGAAGCACUGACCUGCUGCGCGCUCCUGCCCACUUCCCAGUGCCCAGCAGCCGUGUGGUACUACGGGAGGUCUCCUUCAUCUGGCACCUCUAUGGGGGUAGAGACUUUGGCCUUCACCCCACUUACAGAGCAAGAGUAGGCCUCACAGGCCCCAGGGUCUCACCUUCCCGCUCCUCUGGUCCCAACCGUCCCCAGAACUCCUGGCGUACCCAGGGUGGCAUUGGACGGCAACACCAGGUCCUCAUGGAGAUCCAGCUCAGCAAAGCCUCAUCCACCCGCAGGUGAGCUUCCAGCAUGAAGUGUACCCAGAAGAGUCGGCCAUAGCUGGGGGCCUGGGCCAGGAGCUGGACGAGCGACCACUGUCGCGCCAGGUGCUCAUUGUUCAAGAGCUAGAGAUCCGAGACCGGCUGGCCACCUCCAAGAUCAACAAGUUUCUUCAUUUGCACACGAGUGAGCGGCUGCCACGGCGCACACACUCCAACAUGCUUACCAUCAAGGCACUGCAUGUGGCUCCCACCAGCAGCGUCGGAGGGCCGGAGUGCUGUCUUCGAGUCUCCAUGAUGCCUCUGAGGCUCAAUGUGGACCAGGAUGCCCUCUUCUUCCUCAAGGACUUUUUCACCAGCCUAGCAGCCAGUAUCAACCCCAUGGUCCCAGGGGACACUUCUGAGGCUCCCCGAGAGACCCACAGCCGGCCCGGCAGCCCCCAGGAAGGGCAGUCUGAGGACACAGAGACAGCCAGCAACCCACCGGAAGCUCCAGGCAGUAGCCACAGCUCCUCUGACCAGCAGCCUAUCUACUUCAGGGAGUUCCGCUUCACAUCUGAGGUGCCCAUCUGCCUGGAUUACCAUGGCAAGCAUGUCACUGUGGACCAGGUGGGCACUUUCAUGGGACUCCUAAUCGGCCUGGCCCAGCUCAACUGCUCAGAGCUGAAGCUCAAGAGGCUCUGCUGCCGGCAUGGGCUCCUGGGUGUGGACAAGGUGCUGUGCUAUGCCCUCAAUGAAUGGCUGCAGGACAUCCGUAAGAACCAGCUGCCCGGCCUGCUGGGAGGCGUGGGCCCCAUGCACUCGGUUGUGCAGCUCUUCCAAGGGUUCCGGGACCUGCUGUGGCUACCCAUCGAGCAGUACAGGAAAGAUGGGCGCCUCAUUCGGGGGCUGCAGCGUGGGGCUGCCUCCUUUGGGUCAUCCACAGCCUCUGCUGCUCUGGAACUGAGCAACAGGCUGGUCCAGGCCAUCCAGGCUACAGCUGAGACAGUGUAUGACAUCCUGUCCCCGGCUUCUCCUGUCUCCCGAUCCCUACAAGACAAGCGCUCUUCGCGGAAGCUACGCAGAGGUCAACAACCUGCUGACCUCCGGGAAGGCAUGGCUAAGGCUUAUGAUGCUGUUCGAGAGGGUAUCCUGGAUACAGCUCAAACCAUCUGUGAUGUGGCAUCCAGGGGCCAUGAGCAGAAGGGACUGACAGGUGCCGUGGGGGGUGUGAUCCGACAGCUCCCCCCAACCGUGGUAAAACCAAUAAUCGUAGCAACAGAGGCAACAUCCAACGUGCUAGGGGGCAUGCGUAACCAGAUCCUUCCAGAUGCGCACAAGGACCAUGCUCUCAAGUGGCGAUUGGAGGAGGCCCAGGACUGACUGCAGGCACCCAAGAUCCACCCACUGUCCCAACAUGCUCACCGUGUCCAGCCAGCCACAGUGGUGCCACCAGCUCCCUGUUUUCCUGAUUGCUGUGACCCACAGCUAGGCCACCAGGUCCUUCAAAGGAUGGCCACUGUGAAGGAUACCUGCCCAGCCUGCUUGUUGCCAACUGGCCGAGAGAGUGGGGCCUCCCGGCUUUGGGGCCUCUGCCCUGUCUGUGCACUUUCAUCUGGGGAGAAAGGACAUUGCUUCUCCCUGCUACCUGGGCCCACACUGCUGCCUUGUUCCAGAAUGAGGAUGGAGGCUUUUGGACCCAUGGACCCCACUCAGCCAAGUGUCUCUCCGUGUCUCACGGGGAGGUGGGGGAUAGAUGCCAUGUGGGUCGGUGUAUUUUUAAGAUCUCUGAGCGUGUGGGUCAGUGUCUGCAUGAAGUGGAAUAAACUUGCCCACCGCCAGCCCA